CAGCCGCCGCGGUAAUACGAAGGGUGCAAGCGUUACUCGGAAUUACUGGGCGUAAAGCGUGCGUAGGUGGUGGUUUAAGUCCGUUGUGAAAGCCCUGGGCUCAACCUGGGAAUUGCAGUGGAUACUGGAUCACUAGAGUGUGGUAGAGGAUAGUGGAAUUUCCGGUGUAGCAGUGAAAUGCGUAGAGAUCGGAAGGAACAUCUGUGGCGAAGGCGACUAUCUGGGCCAACACUGACACUGAGGCACGAAAGCGUGGGGAGCAAACAGGAUUAGAUACCCCUGUAGUCCCUGUCUCUUAUAC
rnacentral:rRNA from 1 species